UUAGGAAUUUCGUUACGUAUGAGAGCCACUUUUCCCCUUAACCAAUCUUAGGCAUAGGCACUUUCUUUUUUGUUGUUGUUUUUUUGCUUUUUUGUUUUUUUGAGAUAGAGUCUCACUCUGUUGCCCAGGCUGGUGUGAUCUUGGCUCACUUGCAAGCUCCGCCUCCCAGGUUCAUGCCAUUCUCCUGUCUCACCCUCCCAAGUAGCUGGGACUACAGGUACCCACCACCACAGCUGGCUAAUUUUUUUUUGGUAUUUUCAAAAUGGGAAGGAAAAGGCCUGGCCCAGCCCAGAGGAGACAGUCUAAGCUCCUGGUGAUCCUGGCGAGUUGAGUGAAAGUGAGCAUAAACUGACCAGAUUAUCAUUUCCAAACCAUUUGCCUUCACCAGAAAUUGUUCUUCUUCAGCCCUACCCGCCUUCCAGUGACAGGAAGUAGCCCCAGACCCUGUCCCUCCCAGAACUUUGCACUCUGCCUUUUCCCCAAAACCUGACAUGUGACCUCCAUUACCUCCAGAUGACAAGGAGCCCAAGAAGCUCUGACAUCUUUCAGUGAUGGAUUUGCUUAGUUUUCACCAAAAAGGAGUGGGGAUUCAUACAUUGGCAGAGCGGGGAACAGAGAUUCUGAUGGUCCUACUCACCGCACUGGGGAUUCUUGGGGACAGCAGGGAGGAAGGCAUGGAAGCCAAGGCUGACCACAGGCCCUUUGUAGCUGAUAAGUUUUGGAAACUGAUUGAAGGAUAAUGAUCAUUCUAUUGGCAGCCUACAAAUCUUUUUCUUAAAUCUUUUCAGCUUCUUCACAAAUUGUAAGUAAUACACAUAUUUUCCUACUAAUGUUCAGGACCUUCAAGCCCCACCCUCUCUCUUUCCUUCUCUCUCAAACAUAUAUCCCCCUUUCUUCUUCACUGCGUUACUACAACCUCUUCCUUAACAUCUGGUCCAGCCACACAGCAGCAUAUAAGGUGUGAAAACGAAAACCUAAGUCUGAUGGUAUCAUCUUCCAGGUAACACACUGUAGUAGAACCCACAGUCCUUAGUCUCCUCAUUGAAAGUGUACCCCACUCCAGCUGGCCCAGCCAAUUGGUCUCCUUUCCUGUCACUCCUGAACCAAAUACCCAUCCUCUGAUUUUUACUAUUCCCAAAACACACUGUGUCCUUUCCUGUUCAUCCUCACUUCUUCUACCUAGCAAAUUCUCAUUGUCCUUCCACCUGAAGCUUUUCUUGAUGCCCCAGGCGAAAGAGUAACUCCCUUUCGCCUGUUACAUAGAUGUAACAUCAUCUAUGCAACUGUGUACAACUCACCAUGUGACCCUAGAAUCCAUUUUCAUAUUUGGUCUCUUCCAUCCCCCUUUCUGCUUUCCAUACCUUAUUUCUCUGUUGUCUACACGGGAAUUAUUCAGAAAAUAUUUGCUGAGUAGAUAGGUGCAAUUAACUGUAAUUAGCUCCUGUCAUUAACUCCUCCAUGCCCAGUUAUGUCACAACAUAAACAACAUAAUCACUCAUUUUUUAUUCAUUCAUUCAUUCAUUCAAAGAAUAUUUAUUUAUUGAGGUCUUGUGAUGCAACAGGCACUAUAAUAGGGACUGUGGUGAAAGAGUUAAAGUCCCAGCCAAAUAAGGGCUGGGAAGUGGAGAAGGGAGACAAUAACAUCAUGUAAGUACUAUGAAGGUCCCAGGCUUGAGGUCCUGGGCAUUAGUGGGUAUUUACUUAAAGCAGAGGGAGGUAAUGGGGAUUGAAAGAGGAGGAGUGGAAUCAUCAUUUUAGAAAAGAAGGCUCUUUGAGGAGGUGACAGAUAAGCAGAGACUUCUCUGGAUUGAGGAAACUUGGCCAGUUAAAGAAAU
rnacentral:lncRNA from 1 species